AACGAACGCUGGCGGCAUGCCUAACACAUGCAAGUCGAACGAGACCUUCGGGUCUAGUGGCGCACGGGUGCGUAACGCGUGGGAACCUGCCCUUAGGUUCGGAAUAACUCCCCGAAAGGGGUGCUAAUACCGGAUAAUGUCUUCGGACCAAAGAUUUAUCGCCUUUGGAUGGGCCCGCGUUGGAUUAGCUAGUUGGUAGGGUAAAAGCCUACCAAGGCGACGAUCCAUAGCUGGUCUGAGAGGAUGAUCAGCCACACUGGGACUGAGACACGGCCCAGACCCCUACGGGAGGCAGCAGGGGGGAAUAUUGGAAAAGGGGCGAAAGCUUGACCCAGCAAUGCCGGGUGAGGGAUGAAGGCCUUAGGGUUGUAAAGCUCUUUUACCCGGGAUGAUAAUGACAGGACCGGGGAAAUAAGCCCCGGCUAACCCCGU
rnacentral:rRNA from 1 species